rnacentral:rRNA from 1 species
CUUUUGACCUCGGAUCAGGUAGGGAUACCCGCUGAACUUAAGCAUAUC